CUUUUUGUGCAUAAUGUAUAUAUAGGGGGGUGGUAGUACUCUUGGGGUAGAGAGGCAUGUGCUGGGAUGGCAUGCCAAGGCAUGUGCUGGGAUGGCAUGCCAAGGCGUGUGCUGGGAUGGCAUGCCUUGGUGUGUGCUGGGAUGGCAUGCCAAGGACAAGCAUGUGCUAGGAAGGAAGGCAUGCCAAGGCCAAGCCAAGGCCAAGGCAAGCACAUGCAUUGUGAGCGAGAUGAGACGGUUACGAUUACCCCAAGAGUGCCCAAGGUAGAGGAAAGAGGUGUCAAACGCAUGCUGAGCCCCACUUCGGUAGUUUGGCACCCCCAUAAGCAUUCAGGCAAGCGUGCCUAUGGGUAAAGUCGGUCGAGCUUGUCAGCCAUGUUGGGUAUUAUUGUCUGGACGAGAUGAUGGCACACGCAUGCUUGCUUUAAGGUAAUGUUCGGCAGCACAGCCAGCCCGCAAUUGCUAGUUCAAGCGGGUGGAAUCUGCCUAUAGGGGCGUUGCUUGCUUGCUUGCUGUGGAAUUGGGCACGCCCAAUAUGUAUCAUCGAGCCACGUAAUUCCUGCAUGGCCCCAUAGGUAUUCAGGCAAGCGUGCCUAUGGGUAAAGUCGGUUGAGCUUGUCAGCCAUGUUGGGUAUUAUUGUCUGGACGAGAUGAUGGCACAAGGAUGCUUGCUUUAAGGUAACGUUCCGGCAGCACAGCCAGCCCGCAAUUGCUAGUUCAAGCGGGUGGAAUCUGCCUAUAGGGGCGUUGCUUGCUUGCUGUGGAAUUGGGACACGCCCAAUAUCUAUCAUCAACGGACGUAGUUCUUGCAUGGCCCCAUAGGUAUUCAGGCAAGCGUGCCUAUGGGUAAAGUCGCUUGAGCUUGCCAACACCCAUGUUAGCUGUAGUCUGGACCGAUGAUGGCACAAGGAUGCUUGCUUUAAGGUAACAUUCCGGCAGCACAGCCAGCCUGCAAUUGCUAGUUCAAGCGGGUGGAAUCUGCCUAUAGGGGUGUUGCUUGCUUGCUGUGGAUUUGGGACACACCCAAUAUCUAUCAUCGACCCAACGAACUGCUCAACAUGGGUUGCUGAGGGCUAUUUUGGCACUGACGGUUCACUUGUUUGCUUGGCUUUGAUAAACGUUUAGAUGUCAUGAUGCUUGGGAUCCAAUAAAUUUAUGUGGGAAGCUGAGAGCUGGAACCCAAUGUCAUUCACCAGACGGCUUAGCUUCGUCAGUGUGUAUAAUAUGUCAUUGAACCCCAAUCCUUGAUGCCAACCUGAUUAUGACUUUUGGAUCGCAAUUAUCAUGGCUAUCGAAAACUGAGUAGGAGUCAUGGAAUAAGUGAACAAUUUGUAGCCUUUAUAGCUGUCAGCUUUCGCAUCGCCCGGUGUGUUUUGGGAAUCGCUUUGUGCAUUUGGUUGCUUGCCGUGCCUCUUGGCAUACGGUGGGUGCCACUUGCCGGGUGGUUUUUGGAAACAUCCACCGUAAAGGUGCAUGAGUGGUGUUUGGUUUGUUACGGGUGGUUGGCUCUUUGCUUGCGCAACAACUUCCACCCGACUUACCUCUUCAGAUGUUUGCCUAGGCUUGUAUAGCCUAAGCAGAUUGUGGGUUUCCUGUGUUGCCUACCUACGUCACGGAAUUGUCCCGAUCGAUCAAAGUUGCUUUCGUCUUGUGUCGUCUUGAUGGCAUAAGAUGAACCAGGAAGCUGUCUCUUUGCACCGCAUCGUUAAUGCAUGCGUUGAUGUUGUGGCCCAUUGAGCAUUGCUUGGUACCUUGGAUACGGAACCUUAUGUGGGCAUGGGUCCUUGGGGAUCCUUGUUCUGCCCUCGUUUAGCGUUCGCGCUUCUCUUAGAAUGACUGCCUAGCCGGAAUGGCAACCCAUUUUGGAUGGGCAUCGUCAAAGAGGAAUGC
rnacentral:misc_RNA from 1 species